AUGUCGUCAAGUCAUCAUGGCCCUUACGAGUAGGGCUACACACGUGCUACAAUGGCAUAUACAAAGAGAAGCGACCUCGCGAGAGCAAGCGGACCUCAUAAAGUAUGUCGUAGUCCGGAUUGGAGUCUGCAACUCGACUCCAUGAAGUCGGAAUCGCUAGUAAUCGUAGAUCAGAAUGCUACGGUGAAUACGUUCCCGGGCCUU
rnacentral:rRNA from 1 species